GACGAACGCUGGCGGCGGGCUUAACACAUGCAAGUCGAACGGAAAGGCCCGGCUUUUGUGCGGUGCUCGAGUGGCGCACGCGCGCGUGACACGUAAGUAACCUGCCCCUGACUUUGGGAUAACUUCAGGAAACUGGGGCUCAUACCGGAUAGGAGCUCCUGCUGCAUGGUGGGGGUUGGAAAGUUGCGGCGGUUGGGGAUGGACUAGCGGCUUAUCAGCCUGUUGGUGGGGUAGUGGCUUACCAAGGCUUCGAAGGGUAGCCGGCCUGAGAGGGUGACCGGCCACAUUGGCACAGAGAUACGGCCCAGAGUCGUACGGGAUACAGCAGUGGGGAAUAUUGCCUAAAGGAGGCAAGUCGGGUGCAGCAACGCCGCGUGCGGGAUGAUGACCUGCUGGUAGUAAAGCACUUUCGCGUGCACCGAAGCGUGAGUGAAGGUACUGGGUAAAUAAGCACCGGCUAACUACGUG
rnacentral:rRNA from 1 species